rnacentral:lncRNA from 1 species
UUCAGAAUUCCCUUUUUCCUUGAAGUCUCUUAAAGCCUGCCUUGAAAGGCAAGGUUAGAAUGCAUUUAUAGGCAAGUAACGUAGGGCAUUUCAGAAUUCGUUUUUACCCCUUACCCUUUUUGAUUUUUUUUGUUUUAACUAAGUUACCCCUAGAUUCCUGGAUUGUUACCCAAGUAACACUAUCAAGAAUCAGAAAUUGUAACUCAAACCCCAACCUAUAAGCUUCUACGGG